rnacentral:rRNA from 1 species
UGGCGGACGGGUGAGUAACGCGUGGGUAACCUGCCUCACACUGGGGGACAACAGUUAGAAAUGACUGCUAAUACCGCAUAAGCGCACAGGACCGCAUGGUCCGGUGUGAAAAACUCCGGUGGUGUGAGAUGGACCCGCGUUUGAUUAGCUAGUUGGUGGGGUAACGGCCUACCAAGGCGACGAUCAGUAGCCGACCUGAGAGGGUGACCGGCCACAUUGGGACUGAGACACGGCCCAA